UCAAAUAAUGUGGAGUUUUGCAACUGAUUCACGUCAUGUUUUAUURGCUUUUAUCCAAAMCUUAACAAUCAAGGGCGAACUUCGAUAGUCUUCUUCAGGGRCGCGAAGAARUCGGCUURUUUAUUUUUCUACCAAAUUCUUAAAAAUKAAAUUAAACCAAUUCCAGCUACGAUUAAAUAAUCUCGCUUCCGUCCAUUAUUCUAAUUAGCACUUUUAYCAUCUAUAAACUGUUAAAUAAUCAUAUCAAAAAGUGUCUUCAUCAGACAUUAUCAUCUGGAUUUCUCAUUCCUUGYCGUAAUUCCGAUAAAUAAAGUCAAUUUGACGGUUUGGAGGCCGUCAAUAUCAUCAAUUUUCAAAUGCAAAAUUAAAAAAUCGAAAUCGCUUCACCACAAUGUCUCACCUGCUUCGCAAGAAACGGAAGAAUUGUUGAAUGGACGCGUCGCUCGUCUGCCAAAUAUGUGGUGAAAAACUAGCGUUUAAUCCAGAAUGUCCGUGCACUUUGGGUGAGCAUCUCAUCCGGAAGCAUCCCAAUGUUGAAAUGACCCAUUUCUCGACCGAAGACUUGUGCUGUUGCAGUUCUUCCUCCAAAAAAUUACCCCCAUGUCCCAGAACUGGCUUGCCCUGCAGCUGUGAGACUUUUGCUAAACCCAAAAUCCAGUUGACUCCCAAGUGCGUUUUCAAAACUACAGUGGAAACAUGGAAACCAGGACCUUUAAGGGUCAUGUGUCCUCAGUGCGCCAAUCUGGACAGGCCCUGCAUCCGAAGGCAGCGAAACAGAGUAAGUUGAAGUGGCAUAUUCUCCAUUAGGUGCGCUUUGCUUGUUGGUCUGCUGGCCUGUAUGCUUCCUGCCGUUUCUGAUGCCUCAGAGCAGCCAGAUUCAGUUGUUUUGCAAACAGUGUGGGGCGUUUUUAGGGGAAUACGAUAGAAAGUCUGGUCGUAUGCAAUGCCCGCCAUGCCCAGCCAAAGGCCAGUACAGUGUGAACAAUCUUCCUCCUAUAUGUUAACGUUGAUAAAGAACUAAUUUUACGAAUAGAAACAAAACUUACAAUUUU